GACGAACGCUGGCGGCGUGCUUAACACAUGCAAGUGGAGCGACGAACCGGGGCUUGCCCCGGGGCAGAGCCGCGAACGGGUGAGUAACACGUGGGUAACCCACCCCGAUGAUUGGGACAACCCGGGGAAACUCGGGCUAAUACCAAAUGUGCUCGAAGACCAUGAGGUCUCCGAGUAAAGAUAGCUUCGGCCUUCGCAUCGGGACGGGCCCGCGGCCCAUUAGCUUGUUGGUGAGGUAACGGCUCACCAAGGCGACGAUGGGUAGCUGGUCUGAGAGGACGAUCAGCCACACUGGGACUGAGACACGGCCCAGACUCCUACGGGAGGCAGCAGUGGGGAAUCUUGCGCAAUGCGCGAAAGCGUGACGCAGCAACGCCGCGUGGAGGAAGACGGUCUUCGGAUUGUAAACUCCUUUUCGGGGGGACGAAACGGACAGUACCCCCGGAAUAAGCCCCGGCUAACUCUGUGCCAGCAGCCGC
rnacentral:rRNA from 1 species